UUUUUCUCUUUUAAUAACAAUACUCUCCUCUAAGGUAUGCCUAAUGAUUUGGCAAGUGUAAUUAUAAUCUGAGAACACAAUGUGUGAAGGAUUUCGGGCUAAAUAUAUCCAUAUGGUGCAGUCAAAGCAAAACUCUUAAUACCAAAAAGCUUUAACAAUUGAGACUGUUUUUCUCCUUGUCAAAAUGUAUAUAGCUAAGCAGUAAUCAGAGAGAUGUAUGGCUGAGGGAAGUUGAAUUUUACAGGAAUCUCUGAAGCAAACAGGCAUUCUGAUCUCCUGGAGACCUUGGGCAGCACUGCAAAAACCCACGCUCUAUUUGAGAAACAAAUUCUUUUGCCAUCAAGAAACCCUGCAAAAGGCUGAAAUAAAAUGAUCCCUGAAGGAAGCAUUGAGAAGCUGGAAAAAAUAAAGAAAAAGAGAAAAGAGAAACACAUGGACCAAUCUAAAUGAAUAUUGACUGUACACAGUAAUACUACCGAUGUCUUGUGCGGCUUACUAUGUGUGAUUAAAAUAUACAACAACAAAAACAAAAAAUACAGAAAUAUAAAAUGGUGUUAAAGUAUUCUAAGA
rnacentral:lncRNA from 10 species